rnacentral:rRNA from 1 species
UACAGGGGGUGCAAACGUUGCUCGGAAUUAUUGGGCGUAAAGCGCGCGUAGGCGGCUACCUAAGUCGGAUGUGAAAGCCCCUGGCUCAACUGGGGAAGUGCACCCGAAACUGAGUGGCUUGAAUACCAAAGAGGGUCGCGGAAUUCCCGGUGUAGAGGUGAAAUUCGUAGAUAUCGGGAGGAACACCGGUGGCGAAGGCGGCGACCUGGGUCGAUACUGACGCUGAUGCGCGAAAGCGUGGGGAGCAAACAGG